AUUGAACGCUGGCGGCAUGCCUUACACAUGCAAGUCGAACGGCAGCACGGGAGCAAUCCUGGUGGCGAGUGGCGAACGGGUGAGUAAUACAUCGGAACGUGCCCAAUAGUGGGGGAUAGCCCGGCGAAAGCCGGAUUAAUACCGCAUACGACCUGAGGGUGAAAGCAGGGGAUCGCAAGACCUUGCGCUAUUGGAGCGGCCGAUGUCAGAUUAGCUAGUUGGUGGGGUAAAGGCCUACCAAGGCAACGAUCUGUAGUUGGUCUGAGAGGACGACCAGCCACACUGGGACUGAGACACGGCCCAGACUCCUACGGGAGGCAGCAGUGGGGAAUUUUGGACAAUGGGCGCAAGCCUGAUCCAGCAAUGCCGCGUGCAGGAAGAAGGCCUUCGGGUUGUAAACUGCUUUUGUCAGGGAAGAAAUCUUCUGGGCUAAUACCUCGGGAGGAUGACGGUACCUGAAGAAUAAGCACCGGCUAACUACGUG
rnacentral:rRNA from 1 species